AAGUCGUAACAAGGUUUCCGUAGGUGAACCUGCGGAAGGAUCAUUACCAAUUGUAAACUUGUGGAGAUGGCGUAAGCUGUCUCUGCUAACCCACACCCUUGUGAACGCGUACCUAUCUGAAUUUGUUUUGGGUGACUUUUCUUGUAUGAGAGCCCGUCCUCGCAGCUUUUGUUUCGAGGGUGGUGGUCGCCCGGACACUAUCAAAAACACCGUAUUAUCAUGUCUAAACUGUAUUGGGUUAAUAUGUUAUAACUUUUAACAACGGAUCUCUUGGUUCUC
rnacentral:misc_RNA from 1 species